GGGUAGACUUACUGCUGACGAUCAGGAAUUAUUAUUCAAGGCUACUCAGAAAUUAAUGUACAGUAAUCAGGCAACAUGCGCUGAAGCUUUGUUAAAUAUUGAAAAAAAUUUCCCUACGUUCUAUGUGUAUCUUCAAGAAAACUGGCUGACCAUACCAGAAAUGUUUAUGGGUCACUAUAGAAAAGGUCUGAUGCAUUUAGACAAUCAUACUAAUAACAGACUUAAAAGAUAUCAUAGAACACUUAAAGAUGUUGGUCUUUUGUCACGCGUGUCACCGGGAAAUCUUAUAGAUAAAAAGUUAAUAGAGUGCAAAUAGAAAAAUCUAAACAUGCAGACUUUGAUCAACAACUAAAAAUUAACAAUAAACUUCCAGAGCCACUAAAGUUUUAUUCACGUCAUGUUUCUUCUUUUAUUCUUCGUCAUCUCAUGGAACAAUAUGAUAAAAGUAUCAAGUCUGAUUUUAGUUUAUAUGAGGACAGAGAUUCAUUACAAAUAAUCGAUCGGCAAUCAACUUUUUAUAACAUAAUAGACUGGGUUUGCAUCUGUGAUGCUGCAUCAGGGUUUGGCGUGCCGUGUGCACAUGUUCUUUUUGCUCUAAGAACGAAGAAUGUAACUGUUAAUGAUCUACAGUUGAUUCAUAAAAGGUGGAUUUCAUGCAAUACUGUAGCAAACCAGGUAAGUUUUGACCAAGCGCCAUCACAUAUUACCUCAAAUAUAGAAUUAUUACCUCUCUGUUGUG